GGUCAAUGAUGGUAUUUCAAGACGGGAAUGACGAGAGUUUGAUUAUACUUGAAUGGCUGAGACC
rfam:Ascaris lumbricoides genome assembly, scaffold: ALTE_scaffold0001162